AAAACUAGAUUCCCUGAAGGUCUUUGAGAUGAGAAGUGGGAUGAUAAAGAAUGAACUGACGGAAAAGCUACUGAAAUGCUGACCUCUUUGCCGCACACCUAGAAACACGAGGCGGGAAGAAAAGGAGUCAGCAAUACUAGCGAUAAACUUAUCCUAUACUUGGCUUGUUAGCACAUUGACUUCCCUGACUCAGGUCUGUGAGACACUAUCAUAUUUGAAAAUCUGGGAUUCAGACCAAGAAGAGAUUCAUUGAGUGUUUUCUGCUGACCAGUAGAGUCAUGAUGUGCUGACUGCCAGAUGUUAAUCAAUAUAUGACAUUGGGCACCUCACUGAAAACCAAAAAAGAGAGAGAAAAAAUUGAUGUAGUUACACCUGGGCGACACCCACUAGGCAAAAUGCUUCCAGCCUAGACAGCUGGUGGGGAAGGAUCUAUUCAGGAUAAUGGGCCAUUAAGAAAAACAAGGGGCCUGAGGAGAAACUCUUCCCACACCUGCUAACAGAAGCUCCUAAGGAAAAGGACUUGGAACAGGGAUGGGGAGCCCAAGCUGAAAAGCAAGUGCAGCUUGUGUCUUGAGAAUUUGCAACCCUGUAUCAUCAGUCAGGAGUGGACUAGAUCUGGAGGCCCCCUCCUCAUGGCCCUGCAUCACUCUGCCGCAGAAUAGAGCUGAGAGAAGUCCUCCAUGAAACCUAGAGUGGCUGCAGAGGAGUGGCCAAUCAGAGGGGCUGAUGGAGCAGCCAAUCUGGGGCCAGAAGGGCCAGAGCCAAGAAGACAGUUGCGUGGAGGUUGAGAUUUGGGAGGCUGGAAGAUCAGCAGUACCAUGGACAGCUCACCCUGGUGUGCUCACUGCAGACAGGACUGAAGCCCAGGGAAGGCUGCUGAAGACCGGGCGCCUGGCUGGCGGGAAGAGCAGCAGGACCAGCAGAAGGUCAGUGCAGGAAGGCUGAAGCCCAGGGGGGACUGAGCCCAGAACCUGGUCAGGCCAGUGAGGGUACCGAGAUGGGAAGACUGAGCCCAGGGAGGCCUGCUGAAACACCACCAGCUACAGGUACCGGGAUGGGCCCCGACUGGGUGGUUGAAGAAAGCAGUGCCUCUGGGAGAAGCCUUAGCACUUUGGCCCCACACCAGGGCCAAGAUAAGAACUUGGACUGUAUAUCCCAUAAGGGAGGAGUAGUGUAUGCAGCUCGGUUGGAGGGCUGAGUCGCUGAAGACCCACCAAGAGAACCAUCAGUCCAGGGAAUGCUUGCGAGAGAUGGGUGCCAUCCUGAUAUAAGAACUAAAACCAAAAGCAGGAUCACACGCAACCAACCAAAGGGGGCUGCCUGUGAGAGGUGGGUGCCUCCCCCCCAAAAGACAGUGAUUGAAGAUAUA